rnacentral:rRNA from 1 species
GACGAACGCUGACGGUGUGCUUUAGGCAUGCAAGUCGAACGAGAAAGCCCUUCGGGGUGAGUAAAGUGGCGAACGGGUGAGUAACACGUGGGCAACCUGCCCCUCGCAGGGGGACAACCAGAGGAAACUCCGGCUAAUACCCCGUAAGCCUGUCGAGUCGCAUAGCUCUUCAAGGAAAGGUAGCUUCGGCCAUCCGGCGAGGGAUGGGCCCGCGUUGCAUUAGCUAGUUGGUGGGGUAAAGGCCCACCAAGGCGACGAUGCGUAGCUGGUCUGAGAGGAUGAUCAGCCACACUGGGACUGAGACACGGCCCAGACUCCUACGGGAGGCAGCAGCCAGGAAUCUUGGGCAAUGGGCGAAAGCCUGACCCAGCAACACCGUGUGGGCGAUGAAGGCUCUAGGGUCGUAAAGCCCUGUUGAUAGGGACGAAGGGCGAAGGGUUAAUAGCCCCUAGCUUGACGGUACCUUUCGAGGAAGCCCCGGCUAACUACGUGCCAGCCGCCGCAGUAA